GAUCAUGGCUCAGGAUGAACGCUGGCGGCGUGCUUAACACAUGCAAGUCGAACGGACUUUAUAUGAAGCCUAGCGAUUAUAAAGUUAGUGGCGGACGGGUGAGUAACGCGUGAAUAACCUGCCCUGUACCGGGGGACAACAGUUGGAAACGGCUGCUAAUACCGCAUAAGCGCACGGUUCCGCAUGGAACAGUGUGAAAAACUCCGGUGGUACAGGAUGGAUUCGCGUCUGAUUAGCCAGUUGG
rnacentral:rRNA from 1 species